AAAAGGGGAUGACGCGUGCCAAACGUCGGGGACUGUGGGAGAAAAAUUGUAUUCUAAAUAAUGAUACCGCAUAUUGUAUGAUGUUGCUUUACUCGGCUUAUAACUCGCCCCCCCAUUGACUUGGUGUUCACCUGCGUGUUAUUGGAGGGAUGGAGGGGUAACGGGCCUCCCAGGGUCAAAUACAUAGGGGGGUCUGACAGGCGGAGAUUACUCCUUGGGAAUGAAACACUGCGGAGACUCCUACGGGAGGUUCGACUCUGGACCAUUCUUUCUGGGAGCGAAAUGUGAGAGAGAACAACGUCGGGGCUGACAAUUGUUUUCUGAUAAAAAACGUCUGUGGUGAAAAAAAACGAGAGUGAGAGUGCCAACUUCACACAGUGUGGGUAUGUCUCCAUAGUUGCCCGGGUAUUAUGGACGGAAAGCGAGCUCCCCGGGUUAGUGGCCAGAGUUUUAGGCAGUGUCUUGCGAAAAUUCAGUUCGGAAACGGUUUUAAUUCUGAGAAUGAAGGGAGAGUGUAAUUCCUUGUGUCGCGUUGGAAAGCGGGUAUAUUUGGAGCAACACUGGAGACAAAAAAUAUCUAUGUGGCUUGCGCAUGAGACUGAAGCUCUUGGAGUAAAGCCCGGGAGCAAGAUCAGAUCCCCUGGUUGGUCCAGAAGUAUAAAAAUGAUGGCUGGGGUUAAAAACAAUUCCCGGGGAUUACCGGCGUCAUCUCCCCCUUAAGCACUGACCCU
rnacentral:rRNA from 1 species